ACUAACUGAAAGUUGCUUCUCUUCUGGUGUCACUCCACAAUUGCUCUGGAAAAAAUUGUUUAAGUUUGCGAGAUCCUGGUCCCGGAAGCCAGUGAAUUUGUAGUACAAGCCAUCUUUGAUUCGAACACCAAGUUGAUUUGUCCUUGGUACCUUCAUCCAUGUCACUUUUGUAACAUCAGCUUUAUCAACUUCCACUGCUUUACCACCACCCUGUUUCUUCCAUAGAAUUCCCCCUGAAUGUAGCUUAAGCUGCCCAGGGUUUGUGCCUCCACGGCCUCCGAGAGAGAUAUUGUUGAAGAGAUGACCGUCGGUAAUUUCUGAGAUAUCGAGCGAAAAUCAG
rnacentral:misc_RNA from 1 species